rnacentral:sRNA from 1 species
CAGGCAGAUCUACAGACUGACCUCUUCCUUUUACCCACUGAACAGGUACAGCAUAGGCAGUGGCAUAGCAGAAUUCUUCAGACUGCUCCAGCAGUAUGCUUCAAUCUUCCCCUGCAAAGAUUACUCCUAAACGUGAGAAGAUAAUUCAGUCUCCAUGCCCAGACAAACCUUAACCUCU